UCAUGAUUUACAUUUGAGUGAGUGGCGAACUGGUGAGUAACACGUGGGAAACCUGCCCAGAAGCGGGGGAUAACACCUGGAAACAGAUGCUAAUACCGCAUAACAACUUGGACCGCAUGGUCCGAGCUUGAAAGAUGGCUUCGGCUAUCACUUUUGGAUGGUCCCGCGGCGUAUUAGCUAGAUGGUGGGGUAACGGCUCACCAUGGCAAUGAUACGUAGCCGACCUGAGAGGGUAAUCGGCCACAUUGGGACUGAGACACGGCCCAAACUCCUACGGGAGGCAGCAGUAGGGAAUCUUCCACAAUGGACGAAAGUCUGAUGGAGCAACGCCGCGUGAGUGAAGAAGGGUUUCGGCUCGUAAAACUCUGUUGUUAAAGAAGAACAUAUCUGAGAGUAACUGUUCAGGUAUUGACGGUAUUUAACCAGAAAGCCACGGCUAACUACGUGCCAGCAGCCGCGGUAAUACGUAGGUGGCAAGCGUUGUCCGGAUUUAUUGGGCGUAAAGCGAGCGCAGGCGGUUUUUUAAGUCUGAUGUGAAAGCCUUCGGCUCAACCGAAGAAGUGCAUCGGAAACUGGGAAACUUGAGUGCAGAAGAGGACAGUGGAACUCCAUGUGUAGCGGUGAAAUGCGUAGAUAUAUGGAAGAACACCAGUGGCGAAGGCGGCUGUCUGGUCUGUAACUGACGCUGAGGCUCGAAAGUAUGGGUAGCAAACAGGAUUAGAUACCCUGGUAGUCCAUACCGUAAACGAUGAAUGCUAAGUGUUUGGAGGGUUUCCGCCCUUCAGUGCUGCAGCUAACGCAUUAAGCAUUCCGCCUGGGGAGUACGGCCGCAGGGCUGAAACUCAAAGGAAUUGACGGGGGCCCGCACAAGCGGUGGAGCAUGUGGUUUAAUUCGAAGCUACCCCGAAGAACCUUACCAGGUCUUGACAUACUAUGCAAAUCUAAGAAAUUAAACGUUCCCUUCGGGGACAUGGAUACAGGUGGUGCAUGGUUGUCCUCA
rnacentral:rRNA from 2 species